AAAAAGACAAAUACUGAGUUUCCGUGUCUAACGUUUGACUAUCCGUCUUAUAUGAAUUUUUUUAUCAUUAGUAAUUUUAUUAUUGUUAGAUGAUAAAACAUGAUUAAUACUUUAUGCGUGACUUGUCUUUUUAAUUUUUUUCAUAGUUUUUUUAAAAUAAGACGGAUGGUCAACGACACGAAAAUGUAGAGUUUGUCUUUAU
rfam:Oryza rufipogon genomic scaffold, chr01